AUGUUGCCGUCGGCCCACCUUAUCCAUUUGACCGCUUAUCCAUCUCUCCUCGUGCUUCAUUGGCGUCCAGCUGCGGCAAUGGCGACGACGGCGGCCAAGAACAGUUCGAUCGGGAGGUCCAUCUUGUCACAGGCCAAUUGUGGUGACGUGACUGACCAGGUAGUUUUUCGGCACGGCGGCCAUGGGAGAAAUAAGAUCGGAGGUGCACUCACUUCAGCGGAGCCAUGUUCUUGGCUCUUUUUCCGUUGAUGUUGAAUCCUGCUCCAAGUUCUCCAACCGCAAGUAGCUGCUUUUGAAGUCCACCAAUUAUAUGCCAGGUUAUGCCAAGAACCACCAUAGAUCUGGUUUGUGGCACGACAGGGUUGUAUCUCCUCGUACAGGGUGUAUGUCUUUGGAUGCAUUACGACGACGCCGCCGGCGGCCAUGUGCGGCGGAGCGGCCAUCGUGAAGUUUCAUGCAUGCCCGACGAGUGAUCCGACUCGCCCAAUCUCAUCUGCAGCUGCAGUGUCGUAGCCUUCCCUCGGGUCUGCUCUCUCCAAGUCUGAUACACGCCGUGGAAAUAUGACGUCAGAUUGAAGAACACAUGAAUCACCAUGGAUCUCCUAGCUACCGAUGGUGCCUGUUUGAUCCAUGGCUCCAUGCCCUAUAAGUGUGCAUGACAUUAAUUUGCUUGUACGUACGCAUGAGAAACAGUUGGCAGUUUCCUUUGCACCCAUAUAAUCGAGUCAUGUUUCUUAUUGUUGAGGACGUAUAUGUUCCCUGCAAAAAAUUGAUGAUGUAUA